GCUUCUAACCUCGUACAUACACUAACGUACAGACAACUACGUACACUUGCAUGAGAAUGAUCUUACGCAAUACGACGAUACAACAAUUAAUUAAUUCAAAAAUUAAUACGUCCAUCCUAUUGGAUUUAAGCAGUAUUCAUUUCUACGCAUUUGCUUUGUGUGACAAUGAAGUUGACCGAAAACAAGAAACUAAUGCCUAGGAAUAAAGGCUAUUAGUUAUGCAUAUAUUCACUUCCUGCAUAUGUGUACUUUUGCCGGAAAUAAAAUGUCGAAAAACAUAUUCCCUCCCAUUUGUUUCGGUUAACAGACUUAAUAAGCUUAUCGCAAAUCAAAGAGAACAAGUUGAAAUAGCAAGUUAAAUCUGAACGGAGUCACGAACACGCAUUGGAUUGCAACGUGUCGUUCGUUGAUCAUUGGUAUCGGUCAUUGAAGUGCCAAGCGCGCGUGGAAGUCUCCGAAGACUCUGGCAUGGAACUUUAAGAUUUGUGAUGUUGGCCAUCCUGUGACGAAAAAUUGGUUAUGUUGGACUUGGCGAACUAGAGAACCGAGAGGCAAUAGACAAAGGAGGAGGAAAGCGUGGACUGUUAUUGAGAAGGCUAAAUAAAGUAUUUAUGAAAUUGAAAUUAUUUAUUGAUGCGUCCAGUUAGGUUUUAUUCAUGUGUGAAUCUAAACAUCGAUUACCCUCAACUGCGAAAGGAUUCCGGCGUCGUGAUUUUGUUCGUUGUAGUUAACACUACGUGUACUUGGAAAUAUGUAAGAUAAAUUUGGUUGACAGUCGAGCAGAAUUGACAUCUUUUCUUUGAGUUUCUACGCUCGUUCCUGGAUAUUAAGCGGCGUUCUUUUACUCUAACCUUAUCCUUUACUUUCCCUGAAUUUAAUGUGGAUUCUUUCAACAACCAUUGUAGUAACCGACGUUAUCUGAAUUGGAAGGAUAGAUGCCUGAUCUUCAACGUGCAACCCAAAAUAACAUAGACGUAAUCCUUUCUAAAUAUACAUUUUAAUGGUAAUCGUUGAGAUUUCCCUUCCUACUUAUCUUUCUUUAUCCCACCUGGUUUCUUUGUCCUCAUUCAAUUUAUAAUAAAGUAAAAAGGACAUUCUA